UACGUAGAUGGCGAGCGUUAUUCGGAUUUACUGGGCGUAAAGGGUCCGCAGGGGGCCUGUCAAGCCCGCCGUGAAACCCCGGGGCUCAACCCCGGGACUGCGGUGGGGACUGCCGGGCUAGAGUGUGUGAUGGGCAGACGGAACACCUGGUGUAGCGGUGGAAUGCGUAGAUAUCAGGUGGAACACCGAUGGCGAAGGCGGUCUGCUGGCACAUCACUGACCCUCAGGGACGAAAGCGUGGGUAGCGAACAGGAUUAGAUACCCUGGUAGUCCACGCCGUAAACGUUGAGUACUAGACGUCCGGGGGCUGACCCCCCGGGUGUCCAAGCAAACGCGAUAAGUACUCCGCCUGGGGACUACGGCCGCAAGGCUAAA
rnacentral:rRNA from 1 species